UACAGAGGGGGCAAGCGUUGUUCGGAAUUACUGGGCGUAAAGGGCGCGUAGGCGGCCUGUUAAGUCGAACGUGAAAUCCCCGGGCUCAACUCGGGAACUGCGUCCGAUACUGGCAGGCUUGAAUCCGGGAGAGGGAUGCGGAAUUCCAGGUGUAGCGGUGAAAUGCGUAGAUAUCUGGAGGAACACCGGUGGCGAAGGCGGCAUCCUGGACCGGCAUUGACGCUGAGGCGCGAAAGCCAGGGGAGCAAACGGG
rnacentral:rRNA from 1 species